UCUCUGGGUCACCUCCCAUCCGUGUCUAUCUGUACCCUGUUGCUUCGGCGUGGCUACGGCCCGCCGAAGACUAACAUUUGAACACUGUCUGAAGUUUGCAGUCUGAGUUUUUAGUUAAACAAUAAUUAAAACUUUCAACAACGGAUCUCUUGGUUCCGGCAUCGAUGAAGAACGCAGCGAAAUGCGAUAAUUAAUGUGAAUUGCAGAAUUCAGUGAAUCAUCGAGUCUUUGAACGCACAUUGCGCCCCCUGGUAUUCCGGGGGGCAUGCCUGUCCGAGCGUCAUUGCUGCCCUCAAGCACGGCUUGUGUGUUGGGCUUCCGUCCCUGGUAACGGGGACGGGCCCAAAAGGCAGUGGCGGCACCAUGUCUGGUCCUCGAGCGUAUGGGGCUUUGUCACCCGCUCCCGUAGGUCCAGCUGGCAGCUAGCCUCGCAACCAAUCUUUUUAACCAGGUUGACCUCGGAUCAGGUAGGGAUACCCGCUGAACUUAAGCAUAUCAAUAAGCGGAGGAA
rnacentral:rRNA from 1 species